rnacentral:rRNA from 1 species
GGGCUCACACAAGCGGUGGAGGAUGUGGCUUAAUUCGAGGCUACGCGAAGAACCUUAUCCUGGUCUUGACAUGUUUGAGAAUCCUCCCGAAAGGGAGGAGUGCCCUCGGGGAGCUCUUACACAGGUGCUGCAUGGCUGUCGUCAGCUCGUGUCGUGAGAUGUCGGUUAAGUCCCUUAACGAGCGAAACCCUUGUCCCUAGUUGCCAGCGAGUUAUGUCGGGGACUCUAGGGAGACUGCCGGUGUUAAACCGGAGGAAGGUGGGGAUGACGUCAAGUCCUCAUGGCCUUUAUGAUCAGGGCUGCACACGUCCUACAAUGGCGCGUACAAAGGGAAGCGAACUCGCGAGAGCAAGCAAA